AUGAGAAGAUUCACACGAAGCAGAGGGAAGGUGGAGCAGGCCGGUAACCAGGGGAAAAAGCAGAGUGGGAGAAGAUUUACACCGCCGUCUCCACUGGAUAUGGUGUCUCCGCCACAUCUGUGGAGGCGCCGCGGCUCCGCCUCGGAUGGUGCUCGUGGCUAUGGUGAAGAGGAGGGGCGACGCAUGAGCGAAGAGGCAGACGGUGCUCGUGGCCAAAAAAGUGGGUCGUUCGAGCUGCGAGAGGGAGGAGGGAUCGCCGGGAGGUGGCAAGAUCGGUGGGCGGCGGCGGCGGCGUCCAGGUAG
rnacentral:rRNA from 1 species